GGGAGGUGGAACUAGUCGGACAAAGCCCUCGCGUCGGACCCUUGCCAGAACUGAAAGGCACCAUUUCCUUAGAGAAGACCUUCCUGAGCUCUCCCCGCCCCAUUCCAAGUGUUGCGUCUGGGAGUUUCUCAUAUUCUGUGCAUGUUUGUAUUAUUGCAUUUACUGCGUUGUUUUAUACUUAUCUGCUUGUGUCUGUUUUUACACUCCCCCCUCCCUCUAAAAGUCUUUUGAGUAUUAGAAUUGUCUUAAUAAUUUUCUAGUCCCAAUGCUUUACGCAGGACCUGGCCCAUAAGUGGUGAUGAAUGGGUGAGUUAAAGACUCGGUAUGCCUCCCAAGUGUGAUAAGACAGUGCAACCUCUUCAGUUAUUUUAUAGCAUUUUCCAAGUGGAAGUAUAGUGGGCUAAGUGCAGUAUGGACAGGAACCACCUAUGUAAGAAUUUAUCUGAAGACGAGAAGCCUGCGGUUGAUGUGGAUGUCCCAGACUUUUGGAGCUAGUGUCUGAAUGAGAGCACCCAACUCUACUCUGAAGCAAUGUGUCUUCAGUCAGCUGAUAGUAAUUUGAUUUUCUGUGUAGCUAGUCCUGAAAGAGGAAGAACAUUAGAUCUGAAUCUUCUAGUUGUCUUAGCAGUUAUAAUCUCAAAGUAAAUUUACAGAUUGACAUUCCAGUUAUCAGGCCUUCUAAUUUAGCUUCCCCAAGGCCCACGUAUUUCUGUCUUGAAGUGAUAAAAUUGGGUUCUGUUCUUACAAGGUUGAAGACUAACCCAAGAUCUGGGCGUUGUGAAGCGGCAGGCAGCCAUGCCUGCCAACCUGCUGGACAUUGUCUCUACUUAGAAUUUUGGUUUUUUUAAUCUGAAAAGUACAUAAACCAUACAGGAAACAAAGAACUAAUUCAAGCAAAAACUUGAAAUCCUCCUUUGAUUUUUAGCAUAAAUUGGGUAGCUAAAGAUCCAAGUUUGUAUUAAAUAAUUAUUUUUAAAGAAUUAAAGCUUAAACAUUAACAGAUGCCCCAGAAUCCUCUUUGGUGAUAGAAUCAGGAUUCCCUAAUACAGUGGUUCUCAAACCUGAGUGUGCAUCAGAAUCCCUGACAGUGUGUUAAAACAGAUUCCUCCAUCCCACCCAGAUUCUGAUUCUGCAGGACUCGGAUGGGACCUGAUAAUUUGCAUUUCUCACGGAUGCUGUUGCUGCUUUGAAAACCACUGCCCUAAGAGUUAUUUCUUUCUCUCCUUCCUACCCUGUCCCUUUCUUCUUUUCCAAAACUGGAUCCUCAUCUGUCACUUAGUCGUCAGAGCCCAUUCUUGAAGAGCUUACAGGAAAUACUCAAAAGACUCAUAGUACUCGGUUUUUCAUUCUUAUUCUUAAACAGAACGAGAAAAUAUAUUUUUAAUUUUUUCCAAUGAUUUGUAUAGGAAGUGAUCAUCUUAGAGCAAUAAUUUUGUUGAAUGGAUAGCAGAAUUAUUAACUGAAUAUAUUUUUAUAUAUAUAGGCAUUUUCCUCUAGAAAUAUGAAUUGGCUGCCAUUGUGGGAGAGAGGAGAAUUAUUGGAAAAAGGAAAAGUCACAUUCCCUCUCAUUUCUCCCCUAUUGCUCUCUCAUUGUUUCUCCAUGACCCAGAACACUGUCUUUAAAAAGUCAGUAUUAAUUCAUAAAAAGACAAUUCCCACAGCACAAUAUAACUUUAUUAUAUUCACUUUAGGUUUUUAUUUUGAAGAGAGAAAUGCUACUUCCAUCAAAACUUGUGUUUUUAUUGGUUAGCAAGUGCCACCUUUGUCUUCAAAUGGUAAAAGUAAACAACU
rnacentral:lncRNA from 10 species